rfam:Nomascus leucogenys chromosome 1a, whole genome shotgun sequence.
AUCACCUGGGAUUCUUGCUAAAACGCAGAUUCUGAUUCAGGGGGCCUGAGAUUCUGCAUUUCUACAUGCUCCCAGGUGAUGGCUG